AGCCAAUGAUGCAUGAAGUGCAGCACCAUGAGGAAGGACAUCUUCGUUAAUUUCAAAUAAGGGUGAGUGAGGAGAUUGAAGCUGUUUACGUGUCUCAUUCUGCAUUCCAAUAAAGAAGAAGUAUCCAGGAAUCACCUCUUGAUAAAAGGCAAAAUCCUCAGAUCCCAUUGAUGGUGGCAUAUCUUUAAUGUUAUCAAUGCCAAGCACACCUCCUGCAACAAUUUUGAAAUACUUGUGCAAUUGUUCAUUGUUCACAGUAGGAGGGUCAUUCUCAAGGAAAUCAAUAGAUGCUUUACACCUCUG
rnacentral:misc_RNA from 1 species